rnacentral:rRNA from 1 species
UACGAAGGGGGCGAGCGUUGUUCGGAAUCAUUGGGCGUAAAGGGCGCGUAGGCGGACUUAUAAGUCGGUUGUGAAAUCCCUGGGCUUAACCUGGGAAUUGCAUUCGAAACUGCAAGUCUUGAGUUCUCGAGAGGAUGGUGGAAUUCCUGGAGUAGUAGUGAAAUACGUAGAUAUCAGGAGGAACACCGGAGGCGAAGGCGGCCAUCUGGCGAGACACUGACGCUAAGGCGCGAAAGCGUGGGUAGCAAACAGG